rnacentral:lncRNA from 1 species
CGAGUCCGCUCAACGGCGUGCGGGGCGCGGGGCUGCCCGGAGCCGGCCGGGCGCUCGCGGGGUGAGGCUGUGCACGGAGGCAGGGGUGCUACCUGCCUACGUUAUCCUUUUCUCUCUCCUUCUCUGGUGUGUGUUAUCGAGGCUUUUAGGGGGAAAAAGAUAUGAGCAUAUUGACCUUCGGACUUUCAUGUUUCCCUGGUUGAUUCUCUUUGAGGACGGGGUGAUGCUAGGUUCACCAGGGGAACAAACGACACUUUUUUUUUCCUUUUUUUCUUCUUUUAACAAUCUCUGAAAAGUGAGCCCAGGCUUACUUGCCUGGGACUGGAGCAUUUUGACGUGCUUUUGAAGUUCGUUUGGAUUUUGAACAUAACAGCCUUUAUCUUUGAAAGGUGUGGUUGCACCUGUAACUAAAUAGGAAAGGUAUCUCGGUUUCGCAUCCAGCAAUACCAGAGUUAAUAGGACCAGUACUUUGUGGGUUAGAUAGUUGGGACCGUUGUCAUUGCUGUUGUUUCUGGAAGGUAUUGUGUUCAUGCUUUAAGGAACUGGAAAAUGCCUUGCGUUUCUGUGUGUAAGGAAGCUCUCCAAAGCACCUCUGAGGGCAGUAUCUGGACGGUAUUUGCAUCUGUUUACGAGUGUGAUGAGAGAGUUACGAUGCUGUUGCCAAGGGCAUGCAGUUUCUUGGGAACGGCGCCCUCACCCCUCAAGCCUGUUGGGUCCGUCUCCUUGCUGUCUCCACAGUCUGCCUCUUCUGUCUUCCCCACUGCCCCUGGCUUGGUUCAGGCCCUCAUUGCUGCUCACCCGCAUUGCCACAACACCCUCCUCGGCCCCUUCCAGCCAUCGUUGUCACAGUGAUCACUCUGCAGCCUUGCUCUUGGAAGCGUGUUUCUUGGACCAGCAUCACCUGGGAGCUAAUUAGAAAUGCAGAAUCGCAGGACCCAUACUCCCCAUCAGCGAUGACCCAGUAUGAAGACAGGCAGCAUCAUUAACCUGAAUAAAGAAAUUUUCAUAUGACAAAUAGAUGAAUGGAUAAGUAAACUGUAUGCAUGUACGCAAUGGAAACCUAGUCAGGAAACAACAUGAGUGACUCAAAGCGUUAUGCUGAGCAAAAGACCCAAGUCUCAAAAAAUUACUCACAGUAUGAUUCCAUUUAUAUAAUGUUCUGGAAAAGACAAAAUUGUAGGGGCAAAGUUCAGUGGCUGAGGGGGAGCUCUGACUACAAAGGGGCAGCGUGAGGGAAUUUUGGGGGUGCUGAAAUGCUCUGCGUUUGGAUCGUGCUGGUGAGCGCACUUGUCAGUACAUGUGUUAAUACUCAUGGACUGUACACCAAAGGAAGCCAAGUGGACUGUACGUAAAUUUAAACAUAAAUAAUAAAUUAAUUAAUUAACAAUGAUAGAGAUGAGUUACAAACCAUUGGAUACAAUCGGAAACCUUGAGAUCAUAUUAAUAUAAAGCGGUAAACACAAUGAUCUUCUCCCAAACACUUACCAACUGCAGAGGGAGGAAGGUUAACUUUAUGGCGGAGAAGGCCUGGCUG